rnacentral:lncRNA from 1 species
UGUUGUUGCCCGUAAGGUGUUUGUUUAAGUGUCCGAAUGAAUUCUUUACCUUUGUGGAGGAUGUUUCAUUGUAUUCAAAAUGGUUGCCUGUAAGGUGUUUGUUUAAGUGUCUAAAUGAAUUCUUUAGCUUUGUGAAGGAUAUUUCACUGUCAUGUUGAUUCACUCUGACUAUGACAUUGCACUUUCUAAUUGAGAAUGUCUAUCAUUGAGAUGUUUCUGGUUAACUAAAACUUCAAGUGGUAAUGAUCACCCCGGGGGUACGCGCUAGCGCCUUUGACAUGCACUUUCAUUGUCUGAUAUCUGAAAUGGAACCUUGAUCUAUG